rnacentral:rRNA from 1 species
UACGUAGGGUGCAAGCGUUGCCCGGAUUUAUUGGGCGUAAAGGGCGCGUAGGCGGCUCUGCACGUUCGUUGUGAAAUCGCCCGGCUCAACUGGGCGGGGUCAGCGGAUACGGCAGAGCUUGAGCAAGCUAGGGGGCAAUGGAAUUCCCGGUGUAGUGGUGGAAUGCGCAGAUAUCGGGAGGAACACCGGUGGCGAAGGCGGUUCUCUGGGCCUUACCUGACGCUGAGGAGCGAAAGCGUGGGGAGCGAACAGG